AGAGUUUGAUCAUGGCUCAGAACGAACGCUGGCGGCAGGCUUAACACAUGCAUGUCGAGCGCCCCGCAAGGGGAGCGGCAGACGGGUGAGUAACGCGUGGGAACAUACCCUCCGGUUCGGAAUAGCUCAGGGAAACUUGGAUUAAUACCGGAUACGGCCUAGCGGCGAAAGAUUCAUCGCCGGAGGAUUGGCCCGCGUUCGAUUAGCUAGUUGGUGAGGUAACGGCUCACCAAGGCGACGAUCGAUAGCUGGUCUGAGAGGAUGAUCAGCCACAUUGGGACUGAGACACGGCCCAAACUCCUACGGGAGGCAGCAGUGGGGAAUAUUGGACAAUGGGCGCAAGCCUGAUCCAGCCAUGCCGCGUGAGUGAUGACGGCCUUAGGGUUGUAAAGCUCUUUCGCUAGGGACGAUAAUGACGGUACCUAGACAAGAAGCCCCGGCUAACUUCGUGCCAGCAGCCGCGGUAAUACGAAGGGGGCUAGCGUUGUUCGGAAUUACUGGGCGUAAAGCGCGUGUAGGCGGGCGUUUAAGUCAGGGGUGAAAUGCCAAGGCUCAACCUUGGAACUGCCUUUGAUACUGAAUGUCUUGAGUCCGGGAGAGGUGAGUGGAACUGCGAGUGUAGAGGUGAAAUUCGUAGAUAUUCGCAAGAACACCAGUGGCGAAGGCGGCUCACUGGCCCGGAACUGACGCUGAGACGCGAAAGCGUGGGGAGCAAACAGGAUUAGAUACCCUAGUAGUCC
rnacentral:rRNA from 1 species